rnacentral:rRNA from 1 species
AUUGAACGCUGGCGGCAGGCCUAACACAUGCAAGUCGAGCGGAGCGGCAGACGGGUGAGUAAUGCCUAGGUAUCUGCAUGGGAGUGGGGGAUAACGUCAGGAAACGGGCGCUAAUACCACAUACUAUCAGAUGAGCCUAGGUCGGAUUAGCUAGUUGGUGGGGUAAGGUCCUAGCAAGGCGACGAUCCGUAACUGGGCUGAGAGGAUGAUCAGUCACACUGGAACUGAGACACGGUCCAGACUCCUACGGGAGGCAGCAGUGGGGAAUAUUGGACAAUGGGCGAAAGCCUGAUCCAGCCAUGCCGCGUGUGUGAAGAAGUUCUUCGGAUUGUAAAGCACUUUAAGUUGGGAGGCGUUACCCACAGAAUAAGCACCGGCUAACUUCGUGCCAGCCGCCGCGGUAAUAC